rnacentral:rRNA from 1 species
GAACUGAAGAGUUUGAUCAUGGCUCAGAUUGAACGCUGGCGGCAGGCCUAACACAUGCAAGUCGAGCGGAUGACGGGAGCUUGCUCCUUGAUUCAGCGGCGGACGGGGGAGUAAUGCCUAGGAAUCUGCCUGGUAGUGGGGGACAACGUUUCGAAAGGAACGCUAAUACCGCAUACGUCCUACGGGAGAAAGCAGGGGACCCUCGGGCCUUGCGCUAUCAGAUGAGCCUAGGUCGGAUUAGCUAGUUGGUGGGGUAAUGGCUCACCAAGGCGACGAUCCGUAACUGGUCUGAGAGGAUG